rnacentral:misc_RNA from 1 species
ACGAGUUAGGGUCUUCUCGGCCUGACCUCCAACCCUGUGUUUAUUGAACCUUUGUUGCUUCGGCGGGCCCGUCUUACGACCGCCGGGGGACCGUCAGACGUCCUCUGGCCCGUGCCCGCCGGUGGCCAAACUUAACAGAGUCCGAUUAAAUGUGUCCUGUCUGAGUACAAUUUUUAAUUAAAGCA